rnacentral:rRNA from 1 species
UACGUAGGGGGCUAGCGCUGUCCGGAAUCAUUGGGCGUAAAGAGCGCGUAGGCGGCCAGAUAAGUCCGGUGUGAAAGUCACAGGCUCAACCUGUGAAUGCCGCUGGAAACUGUCUGGCUAGAGUCCGGAAGAGGCGAGUGGAAUUCCUGGUGUAGCGGUGAAAUGCGCAGAUAUCAGGAGGAACACCAAUGGCGAAGGCAGCUCGCUGGAACGGUACUGACGCUGAGGCGCGAAAGCGUGGGGAGCGAACAGG